rnacentral:rRNA from 1 species
GAGUAGUAUAAUUAAUUAGUUUGAAAUUCAAAGAGUUUGGCGGUAUUUUAGUCUAGUUAGAGGAACCUGUUUUGUAAACGAUAGGCCACGUAAUAUCUUUCUUGCUCUGGUUAAAGCUAGUAUACCGUCAUUGUCAGAUAAUUUUAUUUCUUAAAGAAAUUGUUGUAAUUAAGUAAUCUUAAUCAUAUUAGAUCAUGGUGCUGCUUAUGGGGGAGUAUAAAUGGGUUACAUUGUUUUUAAUUUAUUACGGAUAUUAUGAAUGAAGUGUCAUAUUGAAGGUGGAUUUAAUAGUAAUGUGAGUUUAAUAUGUUUAUAUGAGAUUASCUCUAAGAUAUGUACAUAUCGCCCGUCACUA